rnacentral:rRNA from 1 species
ACACGACUACAUUAGAUACCCGCGUAGUCCUAGCCGUAAACGAUACUCGCUAGGUGUCGGCCACGGUGCGACCGUUGUCGGUGCCGUAGGGAAGCCGUGAAGCGAGCCACCUGGGAAGUGCGGCCGCAAGGCUGAAACUUAAAGGAAUUGGCGGGGGAGCACAACAACGGGUGGAGCUUGCGGUUUAAUUGGAUUCAACGCCGGAAAUCUUACCGGGACCGACAGCAACAUGAAGGCCAAGCUGAAGACUUUGCCGGAUUAGCUG